rnacentral:rRNA from 1 species
AUUGAACGCUGGCGGCAGGCCUAACACAUGCCAGUCGAGCGGAUGAAGGGAGCUUGCUCCUGGAUUCAGCGGCGGACGGGUGAGUAAUGCCUAGGAAUCUGCCUGGUAGUGGGGGAUAACGUCCGGAAACGGGCGCUAAUACCGCAUACGUCCUGAGGGAGAAAGUGGGGGAUCUUCGGACCUCACGCUAUCAGAUGAGCCUAGGUCGGAUUAGCUAGUUGGUGGGGUAAAGGCCUACCAAGGCGACGAUCCGUAACUGGUCUGAGAGGAUGAUCAGGCACACUGGAACUGAGACACGGUCCAGACUCCUACGGGAGGCAGCAGUGGGGAAUAUUGGACAAUGGGCGAAAGCCUGAUCCAGCCAUGCCGCGUGUGUGAAGAAGGUCUUCGGAUUGUAAAGCACUUUAAGUUGGGAGGAAGGGCAGUAAGUUAAUACCUUGCUGUUUUGACGGUACCAACAGAAUAAGCACCGGCUAACUUCGUG